rnacentral:rRNA from 1 species
AGCGAACGCUGGCGGCGUGCCUAACACAUGCAGGUCGAACGUGAAAAGGGAAACCUGAGUAAAGUGGCGUACGGGUGAGUAACGCGUAGGUAAUCUACCCCAGAAUCUGGAAUAACCUGCCGAAAGGCGGGCUAAUACUGGAUAGAGCGAGGGAACUCGUAAGAGAGUUUUUCGGGAAAGGGAGCCCGCAAGGGCCUUCGUUCUGGGAUGAGCCUGCGUCUCAUUAGCUAGUUGGUAAGGUAACGGCUUACCAAGGCGAUGAUGAGUAGCUGGUCUGAGAGGAUGAUCAGCCACACUGGAACUGAAACACGGUCCAGACUCCUACGGGAGGCAGCAGUGGGGAAUCUUGCGCAAUGGACGAAAGUCUGACGCAGCCACGCCGCGUGAGUGAAGAAGGCCUUCGGGUUGUAAAGCUCUGUCGGAUGGGACGAACAUCUUCAUAGUGAAUAGCUAUGAGGACUGACGGUACCAUCAAAGGAAGCACCGGCUAACUCCGUG